rnacentral:lncRNA from 10 species
ACUGGUGUUCAGUUUUCUUAAUUGUGAAAUCUGAGGUUUCUACUUUGGGAGCCCUAUAGUUUCAAACAGAUUUUAAUUGUGUGUGUGUAUAUAUUGAUACAUUUAACACAUAGUAUGUCUCAUUGUUUUGAGUUGGAAGGUGAGUCAGAAGCCAGCUAGAUGGACAUUGCUAGAAGAGGAAUUCUCCUCUGUUUUGACAAAAGUUUUUUACUGGCUAGGGAUUCCUAGAGGACUGGUCAUACCUCUUUGCACUCUCGCCUUAUACAAAAAGCACAGAAUAAACACUGGCCAGAUGGAAAUGAACUAAGUGAUGCCCUUUAUACUAACGCGCAUAUCCAUUUCACAAUGCCAUGGACCAAUGUUCUCAUCUCAGUUGUGACUUAACUCUCUCUCCCCAACGAGCGAGGGGCUGAAUGAUCACCUUAGUCUUCACCGGAAGAAUUCUCCUGGGAUGACUUCAAGGAGUUGUCUUGUAGGGAGGCAACAUCAGCUCAAGGGAGAAGGCCUCUUGGUUUAAGGAAGGAGACCUCUGUUGAGGCUCACAGAUGUCCGAGUUGCUGAAUAUCCUGGGUGAACAGAAGAGAUUGGUGUUCUCCAACUGGGGUCACUGGAACUUCUGUCUUCAUAGGAGACCUGACUUCCAUUUGCCUCUGAUGCUCAGGCACAGCCCUCGGACGUGGACAUCAUCAAACGUCCUCUUCGCCUUGGAAGGGGGCAAACAAAAUCCAUAUUUCAACUCCAUUUUCUCACUGGGAGGAGAGAGGGGCAGGUACCAGUAAGAUAAGACAGAAAAUGAAGAAAGGAGAUAAGAGAAAAAAAAAGAUGUCUGACUAAAUGAGGGUGCCAGUGCUCCUUGGAGUCAGAAAACGCUGAUUCCGGCUCUGGGAAGAAAGUGAUCCUGGACCAGCCUCUUGCUCCAGAAGGUGAGAAAGCCUCCUGUUCUUCCGGUCACGACAGAAGGAAUCAGAAGCCGACUAAAAAGUUUUUCCAGGGGCCACAUAGAGACAAUUUUAGCGUCAAACAAAUGAUAACUACAAUUGACGGCAACACGUUGGACCCAUUAGGUCAGACUGAUGCUGGGAAUAAAGGCAGAACAGAAACAUAAAGUUUUUUUUAAAAAAAUUUCACCCUUUUUAAAGAAUAAAUUAUUCUGAAAACUAGUGAAGGUAGCGCAUAAAACAAGCAUUUAUCUCAUUUUAUUUGUGGAAACUGUGCUUUGGGGGAACAAAUGAGUGUUGAAGGAAUGGUCUUUAUAGAUGAAAUCUGGGCAAUACAAGAGGAAAUCGGAACUAUUAGGUUGGUGGAAAAACCGUGAUUACUUUUGCACCAACCUGAUACAAUAUCCCAGUUGGGCAAUCUCGAAUGACGCAAGAUGAGCGUCAUCAUCAUCAUUGCUGCCAACCCAUCUGGUGAGGAGCUGGGAGAGAGCGUGGAAACACUGAGCCGGCGGCUCCAUCGUUACAACGCCGCAGGCAAACAAGGGGAAUUCUGGGAGAGAGCGUGGAAACACUGAGCCGGCGGCUCCAUCGUUACAACGCCGCAGGCAAACAAGGGGAAUUCUGGGAGAGAGCGUGGAAACACUGAGCCGCGGCUCCAUGGUUACAACGCCGCAGGCAAACAAGGGGAAUUCUGGGAGAGAGCGUGGAAACACUGAGCCGGCGGCUCCAUCGUUACAACGCCGCAGGCAAACAAGGGGAAUUCUGGGAGAGAGCGUGGAAACACUGAGCCGGCGGCUCCAUCGUUACAACGCCACAGGCAAACAAGGGGAAUUCUGGGAGAGAGCGUGGAAACACUGAGCCGGCGGCUCCAUGGUUACAACGCCGCAGGCAAACAAGGGGAAUUCUGUGGCUCCAGUGUGACACGGUGAGGGGCGCACAUCGCCGUGAACUCCUUUUUCCCCCACAAAAAUCCGAAUCAAAUUAAGCCUCUACAUUAGCGCUGUUCAACAGAAAUAUCACGUGAGCUAUCUUACAGUAUUUAAGACAGGAAUCUUAAAUUUUCUAGUAACCACGUUAAAAAGGUAAAAAGAAAUUGUUGAAAUUAAUCGUAUGUUUUAUUUAUCCCAAUGUACCAAAAAUAUAAUUUCAUAAUGUUAUCGAUGUAAAAAGUAUUGAUGUGAUAUUUUACAUUUUUUCAUACAUCUUUGAAAUCUUGUGUAAAUUUUGCAUUAGCAGUACAUCUUCCAUUGCUGAUUUCUCAUUGGAAAUAGUCUGUAUUUAGAGUUUGUAAAAUUUCCAGCUGAAAAACUAGAUUUGUGAGCCGCAGUUGCUCCAGUCGUACUUGAAAAUCUUCCAACAACCAAAUAGAGUGUGUUUUAAAAUUUACAUUAAUUUCAAUUAACUAAUAUUAAAAGUUUUACAGAAGCCACAUUUCAAGUGUUGAACAGCCACACGUACUAGUGGCAAGUGUGUUAAACAGCACAUAUGUAAAUCUCGUCACCAGUCCACAGGAACGCACAUGGUACCAAGAAGGGAAAGAAGAUACCACGUAUGUGCAGUCACUCAAUUCAGAGUGUGGAAAAUGCUACAGGGUAAGGAAUCUGGUUAAUUGCAAUUAAAAAAAGAGAGAGAGAUAACCUGUAUAUAAAAUAAAUUUAAGAGACUUGUCCAAGUAAAUGUAAUGUUUGAAAUGUGUUGAAUUCUGAUUUAAACAAGCCAAACGUGUCUAUACAUAUGUGUACACACAUGGGCACAUAUAUACAAACACAUGCAUAUAUAUACAUUUACAAUCAAUCUGAACACUCUUCAAGUACAUACUUUAUAGAAUUAGUUAUUGCUAAUUUUUUUAGCCAUAUCGUGGUUAUAUUUUAAAAGAGAAAGGGACUAUUUUGUAGAAACACAGACUGAAGUAUUUACAAAUGAAAUGAUUUCAAGUCUGAGAUUUCCAUAAUAAUCCCGGGGAGAGGAAGAGGUUACAUGGGAUUUUAGAUGAGACAAGUUGGCCUGGGUUCAUAAUUGUUGAAACUGCAUGAUGGAGGCCGGGCGCACUGGCUCACACCUGUAAUCCCAGCACUUUGGGAGGCUGAGGCAGGC